rnacentral:rRNA from 1 species
AUCUUCCGCAAUGGACGCAAGUCUGACGGAGCAACGCCGCGUGAGUGAUGAAGGUUUUCGGAUCGUAAAACUCUGUUGCUAGGGAAGAACAAGUAUCGGAGUCACUGCAGGUACCUCGACGGUACCUGACGAGAAAGCCACGGUUAACUACUUGCGAGCAGCCGCGGUAAUACGUGGGUGGCAAGCGUUGUCCGGAUUUAUUGGGGGUAAAGCGCGCGUAGGCGGUCUUUAUAAGUCUGAUGUGAAAUCAUACAGCUGAACUGUAAGCGGUCAUUGGAAACUGGGAGACUUGAGUGCAGAAGAGGAGAGUGGAAUUCCAUGUGUAGCGGUGAAAUGCGUAGAGAUAUGGAGGAACACCAGUGGCGAAGGCGACUCUCUGGUCUGUAACUGAAGCUGAGGCGCGAAAGCGUGGGGAUCAAACA